UCAAAAUUUAGUUCGACGUAGGUGUCGCUAGCAAAAGCCCAUGGCGACGAUUAGUAAAAUGGCGAUUUAGAGAGAAGCGAGCAUCGUGCGAGAUUGUCAUUUGUUGUCAUCGAUACUCUCUUGAUGGAUGUCAGAAUAAUUUGAAAGUGAUCGCGAAUGUGAUGUGCUUCGAUAAUAAUUAAUAAUGUGCGGAAUGCGAACGGCACGUUUUUAUUGCCAUCUCGUUUGGAGCGCUUGGUUUUUCUUACAAGUUAUCGCCAGGGAUUAUGUCUUAUUGUCACACGAUGGACCAGUUGUGCUGGGUGGAACAAUCACUUUUAGAGCGGAUUUGUUCACAGAUAAUGGCAAGCGACCAGAUGGAACUUUUCGAUACAAAUGGAAAGAUAAUUCAUUAAUAAGACAUCAAUAUGAGAGUGAAAGGACAUCAAAUACAACAACAUUUUGGAGUAUAAAUUACUCACGAGAAGGCAACAUUCCUGGAAAUUAUACAGUAGAAUUGGAAGUUGAUUAUCUUAGUCUGUCAAUUUUUUGGAUAAUUGAUACAAGUGCUCGUAUCGAGUUUGAGAUUACUGAAUCUCUUAAUGGUAAUAUAACUAUAGAACAAGCUAAUAAAACUAUAGCAGGAGAAUAUGUCUCCUCUAUGAACGAGACAAAAUUAAUGAUAAGCAUGCGUAAGGGAGAUUACAACUUUAUAACACAGAAAGCAACAGUGAUAUCAACAUAUUGGUUUAUUGACUGCAAGUAUUAUGGACAGACGAAUGAUUUUACUUUUGUUUAUAAUUUUACAAGUCCUGGCAUGAUACAUGAGAUAGGAGCUUUAGUGAUCGCUUCAUAUGAUUCACCAACGACCACAACUGUACCGACCCCUACAACUGCAGCUGUACUUGAUAAUGUGACAACAAUUGCACCAAAUGAUACUAUGGCAAAUUCAAAUAGAACUCAUGUUACAGUUGUAACGUUGCCAAUAACAGUUACGAGUACAAAAUCACCAAUAAAAUCUGCAACAACCGCACUUUCGAUUGAUGAAAGCGCGAUAAAUUCUGCCAAAAUAUCAAUGCCGUACAUUUGUUCAAACACAUCUCUCAUUCCACCAGAUCCUAACAAAACAUACGGAUACUUUUAUAAAAAAAUCAACGUUCGUGCUCCCGUGUCAAAUAUCUCAGUGGAAGGUACAAAUUGGAUACAACCAUGGGACAUGCUAUCUUUGAAUGUAAGUUGCAAGGGAUCUGGGCCAUUUUCCAAAUGUCUUCAAUUCCACCGUGGAAAAUAUAAUGUGACAGGAAAUGAGACAUGUGAUAAUUCAGAACAUUUGCACUUCUGCAAUUUUUCCAUUAUCCAUUAUUUCCUCGAACCUAGUGUCUAUACAAUAUUAAUUAUAUUAAACAACGAAGUUAGUACGCAGAUUUAUCCACUAACAAUAAACAUUUAUAAAGUUACAACAAAGCCACAAUUAUCAGUUAUUGUAGUACCAGUCUCUUGCUCAGUCGUUGCUGUGGUACUGAUAGUAUUUGGCGUGGCGUAUUACAUUCAAAGCAGAGCAAGAUUCACGAUUGAAGUUGCUGAUUUUGACUUUGGGCAAAGUAAUCCGGAGAUGGAAUACAAAACGUUUACGGAACGUUUGCGCGAUUCCUUUAAUAACACUGUAAGACCUGGCGGCAAACGGCUAAAUAUACGUUAUUAUGGCAGCAUGAAUCACUAAGAUGUACCGUGUGAAGCUAUGAUCUCUAUCGUCAUCUAAUCUUUCUAUUACUUUCAAAUGCAGGAUAUAAACCACUCAGCAAUCCACAAACUCUUCAGUGAUUUACAGCAACGUUCUUAAAAAACACUGAACUAUAGUGAAACUUUCUGCGAGGAGCGAAAACAAGUGGUACGCCAAGCAAAAAUAUCCAUCGGCAAAUUCAACGAUAUUAGUGAAGAGAUCUGUCAAAUUUUAUUAUGCAAUAUAAUAGACAUUGGGCAAGUUUGUUUAAAGUUAAACAGAAGGUCAUAAAAAGAAAGAGGAAAAAAAACGUUGCGCGAUAAUUUCCAACAAUUAUUAAACGAUUGAGUCAAGAUUGUACAUAAAUAAAGAAGUUACUAUGUAUAUAUAGGCUGUGAAUAGUAUGCAAUGGUGUUUUAGAGCUCUUAAAAUGAUAUACAGGAGAAUUUGAUAUUUUUUUAAGGUCGCAACGAGAGAGUUUUCUCAACUUACAUCCCUUUUUAUGAUUUGUCAUGCGUUAUUAUUUGUUGUUUAUUAGUAAUCGUACAUGUUUCGCACAUACGGAAUACAAUAGUGUGAUGAGUUCAAGAAAAUAAUAGUAUAUUUUAUUAUAACUUGUAUAACAUUUACACUUAUACAUAUACACAUAACAGACAAACAGAUAUACAGAACACAUUAAUGUAUACACACACAUGUGUAGAAAUUGCUGACAUAAAAAGGCUUUAUUGAAAAACAGAGUUAAAUCACGCUUAUAUUAGGAAAUCUUUUUGUAUAUAUUACAUUAUAUUUAUAAUAAUUUACCAACAAGUAAAUUUCUUAAAAAAUUUUGAUUUGAGAGAUUCAUUUAGGAUCAAAUUUAUUUAUAGAUAAAUAUAUUAUGAAUAUGUUUGUGGGCGAACAUAUUAAGCUAAAUGAAUUAAUUCUGUAUAAUAUAAUAAUCACAGUAUUGUGGCGUUAAAGUAUUUAUCUGCUAUAUCUUUAAUAAAGAAAGGUGUUAACGAACAU